CCUACGGGGGGCUGCAGUGGGGAAUAUUGCACAAUGGGCGCAAGCCUGAUGCAGCAACGCCGCGUGAGUGAUGAAGGCCUUCGGGUUGUAAAACUCUGUCCUAUGGGAAGAAACAAAUGACGGUACCAUGGGAGGAAGCCCCGGCUAACUACGUGCCAGCAGCCGCGGUAAUACGUAGGGGGCAAGCGUUAUCCGGAAUCACUGGGCGUAAAGGGUGCGUAGGUGGCUUAUCAAGCCAGAGGUGAAAGGCAGUGGCUCAACCAUUGUAAGCCUUU
rnacentral:rRNA from 1 species